UGGGGAAUUUUGGACAAUGGGCGAAAGCCUGAUCCAGCAAUGCCGCGUGUGUGAAGAAGGCCUUCGGGUUGUAAAGCACUUUUGUCCGGAAAGAAAUCCUUGGCUCUAAUACAGUCGGGGGAUGACGGUACCGGAAGAAUAAGCACCGGCUAACUACGUGCCAGCAGCCGCGGUAAUACGUAGGGUGCAAGCGUUAAUCGGAAUUACUGGGCGUAAAGCGUGCGCAGGCGGUUUGCUAAGACCGAUGUGAAAUCCCCGGGCUCAACCUGGGAACUGCAUUGGUGACUGGCAGGCUAGAGUAUGGCAGAGGGGGGUAGAAUUCCACGUGUAGCAGUGAAAUGCGUAGAGAUGUGGAGGAAUACCGAUGGCGAAGGCAGCCCCCUGGGCCAAUACUGACGCUCAUGCACGAAAGCGUGGGGAGCAAACAGGAUUAGAUACCCUGGUAGUCCACGCCCUAAACGAUGUCAACUAGUUGUUGGGGAUUCAUUUCCUUAGUAACGUAGCUAACGCGUGAAGUUGACCGCCUGGGGAGUACGGUCGCAAGAUUAAAACUCAAAUGAAUUGACGGGGUCAUAGCGUUUCCU
rnacentral:rRNA from 1 species